rnacentral:rRNA from 1 species
GAUUAAGUUAUUAAGGGCGCACGGUGGAUGCCUUGGCACUAGAAGCCGAUGAAGGACGUUACUAACGACGAUAUGCUUUGGGGAGCUGUAAGUAAGCUUUGAUCCAGAGAUUUCCGAAUGGGGAAACCCAGCAUGAGUUAUGUCAUGUUAUCGAUAUGUGAAUACAUAGCAUAUCAGAAGGCACACCCGGAGAACUGAAACAUCUUAGUACCCGGAGGAAGAGAAAGAAAAUUCGAUUCCCUUAGUAGCGGCGAGCGAAACGGGAAGAGCCCAAACCAACAAGCUUGCUUGUUGGGGUUGUAGGACACUCUAUACGGAGUUACAAAGGACGACAUUAGACGAAUCAUCUGGAAAGAUGAAUCAAAGAAGGUAAUAAUCCUGUAGUCGAAAAUGUUGUCUCUCUUGAGUGGAUCCUGAGUACGACGGAGCACGUGAAAUUCCGUCGGAAUCUGGGAGGACCAUCUCCUAAGGCUAAAUACUCUCUAGUGACCGAUAGUGAACCAGUACCGUGAGGGAAAGGUGAAAAGCACCCCGGAAGGGGAGUGAAAUAGAACCUGAAACCGUGUGCUUACAAGUAGUCAGAGCCCGUUAAUGGGUGAUGGCGUGCCUUUUGUAGAAUGAACCGGCGAGUUACGAUUUGAUGCAAGGUUAAGCAGUAAAUGUGGAGCCGUAGCGAAAGCGAGUCUGAAUAGGGCGUUUAGUAUUUGGUCGUAGACCCGAAACCAGGUGAUCUACCCUUGGUCAGGUUGAAGUUCAGGUAACACUGAAUGGAGGACCGAACCGACUUACGUUGAAAAGUGAGCGGAUGAACUGAGGGUAGCGGAGAAAUUCCAAUCGAACCUGGAGAUAGCUGGUUCUCUCCGAAAUAGCUUUAGGGCUAGCCUCAAGUGAUGAUUAUUGGAGGUAGAGCACUGUUUGGACGAGGGGCCCCUCUCGGGUUACCGAAUUCAGACAAACUCCGAAUGCCAAUUAAUUUAACUUGGGAGUCAGAACAUGGGUGAUAAGGUCCGUGUUCGAAAGGGAAACAGCCCAGACCACCAGCUAAGGUCCCAAAAUAUAUGUUAAGUGGAAAAGGAUGUGGCGUUGCCCAGACAACUAGGAUGUUGGCUUAGAAGCAGCCAUCAUUUAAAGAGUGCGUAAUAGCUCACUAGUCGAGUGACACUGCGCCGAAAAUGUACCGGGGCUAAACAUAUUACCGAAGCUGUGGAUUGUCCUUUGGACAAUGGUAGGAGAGCGUUCUAAGGGCGUUGAAGCAUGAUCGUAAGGACAUGUGGAGCGCUUAGAAGUGAGAAUGCCGGUGUGAGUAGCGAAAGACGGGUGAGAAUCCCGUCCACCGAUUGACUAAGGUUUCCAGAGGAAGGCUCGUCCGCUCUGGGUUAGUCGGGUCCUAAGCUGAGGCCGACAGGCGUAGGCGAUGGAUAACAGGUUGAUAUUCCUGUACCACCUAUAAUCGUUUUAAUCGAUGGGGGGACGCAGUAGGAUAGGCGAAGCGUGCGAUUGGAUUGCACGUCUAAGCAGUAAGGCUGAGUAUUAGGCAAAUCCGGUACUCGUUAAGGCUGAGCUGUGAUGGGGAGAAGACAUUGAGUCUUCGAGUCGUUGAUUUCACACUGCCGAGAAAAGCCUCUAGAUAGAAAAUAGGUGCCCGUACCGCAAACCGACACAGGUAGUCAAGAUGAGAAUUCUAAGGUGAGCGAGCGAACUCUCGUUAAGGAACUCGGCAAAAUGACCCCGUAACUUCGGGAGAAGGGGUGCUCUUUAGGGUUAACGCCCAGAAGAGCCGCAGUGAAUAGGCCCAAGCGACUGUUUAUCAAAAACACAGGUCUCUGCUAAACCGUAAGGUGAUGUAUAGGGGCUGACGCCUGCCCGGUGCUGGAAGGUUAAGAGGAGUGGUUAGCUUCUGCGAAGCUACGAAUCGAAGCCCCAGUAAACGGCGGCCGUAACUAUAACGGUCCUAAGGUAGCGAAAUUCCUUGUCGGGUAAGUUCCGACCCGCACGAAAGGCGUAACGAUUUGGGCACUGUCUCAACGAGAGACUCGGUGAAAUCAUAGUACCUGUGAAGAUGCAGGUUACCCGCGACAGGACGGAAAGACCCCGUGGAGCUUUACUGUAGCCUGAUAUUGAAAUUCGGCACAGCUUGUACAGGAUAGGUAGGAGCCUUUGAAACGUGAGCGCUAGCUUACGUGGAGGCGCUGGUGGGAUACUACCCUAGCUGUGUUGGCUUUCUAACCCGCACCACUUAUCGUGGUGGGAGACAGUGUCAGGCGGGCAGUUUGACUGGGGCGGUCGCCUCCUAAAAGGUAACGGAGGCGCUCAAAGGUUCCCUCAGAAUGGUUGGAAAUCAUUCAUAGAGUGUAAAGGCAUAAGGGAGCUUGACUGCGAGACCUACAAGUCGAGCAGGGUCGAAAGACGGACUUAGUGAUCCGGUGGUUCCGCAUGGAAGGGCCAUCGCUCAACGGAUAAAAGCUACCCCGGGGAUAACAGGCUUAUCUCCCCCAAGAGUUCACAUCGACGGGGAGGUUUGGCACCUCGAUGUCGGCUCAUCGCAUCCUGGGGCUGUAGUCGGUCCCAAGGGUUGGGCUGUUCGCCCAUUAAAGCGGUACGCGAGCUGGGUUCAGAACGUCGUGAGACAGUUCGGUCCCUAUCCGUCGUGGGCGUAGGAAAUUUGAGAGGAGCUGUCCUUAGUACGAGAGGACCGGGAUGGACAUACCUCUGGUGUACCAGUUGUCGUGCCAACGGCAUAGCUGGGUAGCUAUGUGUGGACGGGAUAAGUGCUGAAAGCAUCUAAGCAUGAAGCCCCC